rnacentral:rRNA from 1 species
UACAGAGGGUGCAAGCGUUAAUCGGAAUUACUGGGCGUAAAGCGUGCGUAGACGGUUGCGUAAGUCAGAUGUGAAAGCCCCGGGCUCAACCUGGGAAUUGCAUUUGAGACUGCGUAGCUAGGGUGCGGAAGAGGGAAGCGGAAUUUCCGGUGUAGCGGUGAAAUGCGUAGAUAUCGGAAAGGAACACCAGUGGCGAAAGCGGCUUCCUGGUCCAGCACCGACGUUCAGGCACGAAAGCGUGGGGAGCAAACAGG